UCCCUGGUAGUCCAGUGGCUAAGACUCCACACUCCCAAUGCAGGGGGCCCAGGUUCAAUCCCUGGUCAGGGAA
rnacentral:tRNA from 1 species